UGUAAUAAUGCUUGUAAGCCGUAAGUGUGACAGUAGCGUUCAUCUGCUUACAUCUGCUGUCCAUACAGACUAGCCCACGUUAUACGGACGUAAUUGACCACAUUAUAAAACACAACGGUAAAGCAGAACGACUUCGGCAGGAAACUGGUCAUGAUGAAAUCACUUGUAUUCCUCUCCGUGUGUACACUGUACUUCACAGCCAUUACAGGAGCGAGUAACCAAGAUGAAAGCAACUGUCAUGCUUUCUGUGCGUUUGGUUUAAAAGUGCCCGGAUGUUUCUGCUCUAAGGUUGCAUCAGUAAGCUACAUGGACUCUGACCCGGGCUUCGGUAAGUUACCGUGGACGACAACCAAGCCAGCCUACACGACCGAUAUAUGCGAUUACCUGUGUUAUAUACAGAUGGGAGGAGACGCCUGUCAAUGUAGUAAGCCUGGGGUCCCUGGUCGACGAUAGGGGAGGUAAUUCCGAUAUGCCAACUUCCAGGAAGAAUAGACUCCCUUUAACAGUUGGCUUAAACGGUGACAGUUUGAAGGCCGUGGUGUCAUAUUAACAGUCUGUUGGUAUCCAAAACAGCCAUAUUAGUUCCAAAUGGUAGUUCCGCUUAAGUUGACCAUCUGUUUUUAUCAGUAUUGACAGACUCCUCUGUCAAUGGCUCUCUUUAACCACAAACGAUAUAGCUUUACAUUUUUACAUUUCGAGCGAGACUAAAAGUUGCGCACAUGUUCACUUACUUGAAAUAUCUCCUGUUACUUCCUUGGUGUUUUGUUUUAAAUUUUAUGUAUGUCUGUUUAAUAAAAUUAUUCCCGGUGGGAAUGUUGUCGUCCUUGGUGUAUACAUUUUAGUAUUAAAAUGAAUGUGUUUGAUAAAUCCAUAAAUGUAUUGCUGCAUGAGCUCUGGGUAUUCGGCCUACUGUGCUCGCUCUCAUUAGUUCCUAGUCAUGAUUAGGCCUAAUUCCUAAUUCUUCUGA